rnacentral:rRNA from 1 species
AGCAGUCGCCACGGUAAUACGUAGGUGGCAAGCGUUGUCCGGAAUUAUUGGGCGUAAAGCGCGCGCAGGCGGAUAGGUCAGUCUGUCUUAAAAGUUCGGGGCUUAACCCCGUGAUGGGAUGGAAACUGCCAAUCUAGAGUAUCGGAGAGGAAAGUGGAAUUCCUAGUGUAGCGGUGAAAUGCGUAGAUAUUAGGAAGAACACCGGUGGCGAAGGCGACUUUCUGGACGAAAACUGACGCUGAGGCGCGAAAGCGUGGGGAGCAAACAGGAUUAGAUACCCCAGUAGUCCCUGUCUUUUAUACA